UCGUAGCCUUUAAAUUCAUAGUGGGGAAUCUAAAAUCGACGGUACGGACGCAAUUUGCUUCGUAUGCCCCCAGUAAUUUUAUCCGUAAUCAGUUCGAUGCUCCUAUGCCCAGUCAGCUCCUGUUUAUUUUUUUACUUCUCGGUAAAUAUUUAUGUCUAUUUUCUACAAAUUUAAAUUUGAACUUUAAUAUUGGGUAUAUAUCGUCUAACCUCUAUGAAUGUCAAAAAAGUUAUUUACUUUUAUUAAAAAAUCAAGGAAUAUUGUUUAUAUGUAAGGAUUGGGAAUGUCACUAAACUGGUUGUACCUUGCCUUUGGAUUCUCACUAAGCAUAUGUGCAGAUGGCAUAUUCAGGUCUAUCUCCUUUUAGUCUGCACCUUCUCUUGUGUUUUUGUUGAUGAAGGAAAAGUUUAAAAAAUCAUAGGUCUAUCCCAAGAGUAAGGUAAGAGCUGUACAAAAAGCGUACCGAACCAUCAGGAGAAGUCUAAUCACAUAUUAAGAAUCUACUAUAUUACAGAAAUUAAGCAAAUCCAUUUUGAUAAAUUGAAGCAAAUAAAACAAUCAAAACAAACUCAAAAGUCCAAAUCAAAAGCUAACAUAGGGUAUGACUGGUUUUCCCGCUACCACCCGCAAACGCAGCUUUUGCGGUUGGUAGCGGUUAUUGGCGUUUUGCAACAAUCGGUCAAACCGCUCCAAACCGUUC
rnacentral:lncRNA from 1 species